UACGGAGGGUGCAAGCGUUAUCCGGAUUCACUGGGUUUAAAGGGUGCGUAGGUGGGUCUGAAAGUCAGUGGUGAAAUCUCCGGGCUUAACCCGGAAACUGCCAUUGAUACUUCAGGUCUUGAAUUUUCUGGAGGUAAGCGGAAUAUGUCAUGUAGAGGUGAAAUGCUUAGAGAGGACAUAGAACACCAAUUGCGAAGGCAGCUUACUACGGGAGUAUUGACACUGAGGCACGAAAGCGUGGGGAUCAAACAGG
rnacentral:rRNA from 1 species